CCUUGAAAGGGGGAACAAAAACAUUCUUUAGAAAGGUGUGGAAACCUCUUCCUAGCACACACACGUUUUAAAAACCUUGAAAGGAGGAAAAGUCUAAAGAGGACAAUAUCUAGUAGAGUUGGACAAUGGGAAUUCCAUUCAAUUCAAAUGUAGAAAAUGAGGUUUAAACAAGCACCUUCUCUGUCACCACCCCUGUUUGGCUUUGGUUCAGCAUAGAUGUAUGCCAUAACAUGU